AUUGAACGCUGGCGGCAGGCCUAACACAUGCAAGUCGAGCGGAUGAAGGGAGCUUGCUCCUGGAUUCAGCUGCGGACGGGUGAGUAAUUCCUAGGAAUCUGCCUGGUAGUGGGGGAUAACGUCCGGAAACGGGCGCUAAUACCGCAUACGUCCUGAGGGAGAAAGUGGGGGAUCUUCGGACCUCACGCUAUCAGAUGAGCCUAGGUCGGAUUAGCUAGUUGGUGGGGUAAAGGCCUACCAAGGCGACGAUCCGUAACUGGUCUGAGAGGAUGAUCACUCACACUGGAACUGAGACACGGUCCAGACUCCUACGGGAGGCAGCAGUGGGGAAUAUUGGACAAUGGGCGAAAGCCUGAUCCAGCCAUGCCGCGUGUGUGAAGAAGGUCUUCGGAUUGUAAAGCACUUUAAGUUGGGAGGAAGGGCAGUAAGUUAAUACCUUGCUGUUUUGACGUUACCAACAGAAUAAGCACCGGCUAACUUCGUG
rnacentral:rRNA from 1 species